rnacentral:rRNA from 1 species
AUUGAACGCUGGCGGCAGGUCUAACACAUGCAAGUCGAACGAGUGGCGGACGGGUGAGUAAUGUCUGGGAAACUGCCUGAUGGAGGGGGAUAACUACUGGAAACGGUAGCUAAUACCGCAUACCAUCAGAUGUGCCCAGAUGGGAUUAGCUAGUUGGUGGGGUAAAGGCUUACCAAGGCGACGAUCCCUAGCUGGUCUGAGAGGAUGACCAGGCACACGGGAACUGAGACAAGGGCCAGACUCCUCCGGGAGGAAGCAGUGGGGAAUAGUGCACAAUGGGCGAAAGCCUGAUGCAGCCAUGCCGCGUGUAUGAAGAAGGCCUGCGGGUUGUAAAGUACUUUCAGCGGGGAGGCGUUACCAGCAGAAGAAGCACCGGCUAACUCCGUGCCAGCAGCCACGGUAAUUC